AAAUGUAGUGGCUUCUGCUUCUGAAGAGGCCUCAGGAAGCUUCCAAUCAUGGUGGAAGGCAAAGCGGGAGACGGCAUCUUACACGGCUGGAGCGUGAGGAAGACGCUUCCACGGCCAUAGGUGAUAUUGGCCUAUGUUACCUCUCAUCAUAUAAUCCAAAAGGGAGUCAUGCUUUCUUUCACCUCUCCUGGAACUACACCCAUCUUAUCCUCGGGUCCUGCAGAGAUCCAUGGGACAGAAAGCUGUUUCUUCUAUGAAAUGGAAAUGGCAUCCCCUGCCUAAGAGCAGUGGCAUGACAAUUCCAUAAGCUAGCAUCUUUAAAAUCAUUCAAGGUUUGGUGAUAAGCUAUUAGAUACAACAGCAAAGCUACAAGGCACGAGAGAAAAAGCUGGUAACUUGGACUUCGUGAACAUUGAAAACUUCUGCUUUGUGAAAGACACUAUUGAGAGAGUCAAAAGGCAAGCCAUAGAAUGGAGGAAGAUAUUUGCAAAACAUAUGUCUGACAGAGGACUUACAUACAAAAGACAUAUCAACCCAACAGUAAGAAAACAAACAAUCCAAUUAAAAAGUGAGCAAAAGGUGCAAUCACACAUCUUACUAAAUAAGAUAUACAGAAGAGAAAUAAUCAAGUGAAAACUUGAUCAACAUAAUUUGUCAUUAGGGAAUUGCAAGUUAAAACAACCGCAAGAUAUCACUACACACCUAUUAGAAUGGCCAAAAUCCAAAACACUGACAAUGCUAAAUGCUGAUGAGGAUGCGGAGCAAUGGUAUAGCCACUUGAGAAAAGAGUGUGGCAGUUUCUUAUAAAACUAAAUCUAAUCUUACUCUAUGAUCCAGCAAUAUACUCCUAGGUAUUGAUCCAACUGAUUUGAAAAUGAAUGUUCACACAGAAACCUACACUCUAUUGUUUAUAGCAGCUUUAUUUUCAUAAUUGCCAAAAACUGAAACAAAAAACCCACAAUAUCCUUCAAUAAGUGAACUGGUGGACAUAUUGUGGUACCUAUACACCCUAGAAUACUAUUUCAUGAUUUAAAAAAUAAGGUGCUAUCAAGCUGUAGGAGACUAUGAAUGAAUCUUAAAUGUGUAUUGCUAGGUGAAGAAAGGGACUGAAAAGUCUGCAAAUUGUAGGAUUUUGAGUGUGUGCCAUUCUAGAAAAGGCAAAAGAUAAGUGGUUGUCAGGGAUUCC